CAUCACUGUACUAUAUUUUGAGGGGAAAAAAGUAAAAGAUGAAUUCUCAAGUAAGUGUGGCUCUUUCAACUUAUUUAUUCCUCAACAAUUAAAGGAUGUGAUGUGUGUUUGAGGGGUGGGAGGUGAACUAUAACUUUCUUGAACACAGACCAUUUCUUCAGCAGUACUUCCUCAGUCUUAACCACUUACUUGAUUUUUCCAAGACCAUAUUUCUUCUACUUUUUUUGGCUAGGUUCUCUUCAUCUAAUUCCUUACUGAAAAUUUUCUGAUUCAUCUAUAGUCAUAGCCCUUAUUUAAGGGCUUAAAUUUGCCUUUUUGGACAUCUUCAAGGAAUAAUAGAACAACUGCUCCUUCGUAGGGGUAGGCUAUAAUUAGGCUAUCACUCUCACCCCAAUAUCUUUCUCUCAGCUUUGCUUCUGAAGCAAAAGAGAAGAUCCUGCAAAAAAAAAAAAAAAAAAAGAAGAUACUGGAGUAUCAGCAGAAACUCUAAGGUCAGGAGUGAGUGGAAUGAUAUAUCCAAUGUUGAAAGAUAGAAAUUGCCAACCAAGAAAACUUUAUCUGACAAUGGUAUCUUUCAGAUAAGAGGAAGAAAUAAAUGUUUCCCCAGUCAAUUGCUGAGGGAGUUCACCACCACUAGACCUGCCUUGAAAGAAAUGUUGAAAAUUCUUCAAGCUGAAAUGAAAAAAACACUUAUCAGUGGCAGGAAAACCUGUGAAAGUUCAUGACACACUGGUAAAGAUGAAAGUCAGAUUCAGAAAACCAUAACUCUAUAUUAGGAUGUUGUAUUAAUUGCUCAAUUAUAGUAAAAAAAAAGGAAGAGAGUAGAAAAAAUAACUAUAGCUACCAUAAAUUGUAUUAUAAACAAAUACAUGGCAUAAAAAGAAGUAAAUUGUAACAUCAAUUAUAUGAAAAGAGUAAAAGAGUGGAGCUUUUAUAGGCAUGCAAAGAUAAGUUGCUAUUAACUGGAAAUGGACUACUCAGAAACCUAGACUAGAUCUACAAAAGACAAAGAAAGGGGAAACAAAGAAUACCACCAUGGAAACUAACCAAUUUAUAAAAGUA
ensembl:lncRNA